GACAGAGGGUGAAAACGUUGUUCGGAAUUACUGGGCGUAAAGCGCGUGUAGGCGGCUUUGCAAGUCGGGCGUGAAAUCCCAUGGCUCAACCAUGGAAGUGCACUCGAAACUGCAGAGCUAGAGUCCUGGAGAGGAAGGUGGAAUGCUUGGUGUAGAGGUGAAAUUCGUAGAUAUCAAGCGGAACACCGGUGGCGAAGGCGGCCUUCUGGACAGUGACUGACGCUGAGACGCGAAAGCGUGGGGAGCAAACAGG
rnacentral:rRNA from 1 species